GACGAACGCUGGCGGCGUGCCUAAUACAUGCAAGUCGAACGCUUCUUUCCUCCCGAGUGCUUGCACUCAAUUGGAAAGAGGAGUGGCGGACGGGUGAGUAACACGUGGGUAACCUACCCAUCAGAGGGGGAUAACACUUGGAAACAGGUGCUAAUACCGCAUAACAGUUUAUGCCGCAUGGCAUAAGAGUGAAAGGCGCUUUCGGGUGUCGCUGAUGGAUGGACCCGCGGUGCAUUAGCUAGUUGGUGAGGUAACGGCUCACCAAGGCCACGAUGCAUAGCCGACCUGAGAGGGUGAUCGGCCACACUGGGACUGAGACACGGCCCAGACUCCUACGGGAGGCAGCAGUAGGGAAUCUUCGGCAAUGGACGAAAGUCUGACCGAGCAACGCCGCGUGAGUGAAGAAGGUCUUCGGAUCGUAAAACUCUGUUGUUAGGGAAGAACAAGGACGUUAGUAACUGAACGUCCCCUGACGGUAUCUAACCAGAAAGACACGGCUAACUACGUG
rnacentral:rRNA from 1 species